rnacentral:lncRNA from 1 species
UCUAUUCAACCUAGAAAUAGAAGUAGAACAAAGAUGAAAUGUACAUGGACGCCAGGAGCGUGAAGUGAUUUUACUUAACCACUUAAAUCAACCCGUUGGUCCUAGUGAAAAAGUUGUGACGGUGUUUGGAAGCUUCCUCGGCACAUUGGCAAGGAAUGCGACUCUAUGUCCUCUUGAUAUUUUGGAUUGGAGGAUGAUGGACACAAAAGAGGAUAUAUGGGAAUAUACAAAGGUCUGAACUUCUUAAUUUUCAGUAUUUGGUUGAAAAUCUCAUAUCUUCUGCACUAACAGAUUUGACAUUAAUUGUAGGCUAAGUAUGAUAUUCCUGAAGUUGGAAAAGAUAUACUUUGGAAUCAGUGCAAGCUGCCUGGAGAAAACUCAAGAAUAGAUUGAAAAAUGAUCACUUUGACUCCUAUCACAAUGAUGAAGCUCGAUUGAAAAAUAACAGAUUUGACAUCAGUUGUAGGCUAAGUAUGAUAUUCCUGAAGCUGGAAAAAGAUAUACUUUGGAAUCAGUGCAAGCUGCCUGGAAAAAACACAAGAAUAGAUUAAAAAAUGAUCACUUUGACUCCUAUCACAAUGAUGAAGCUUGAUUGAAAAAUAUCCCUGGAGAUGUUCCAGCUUCUCAGUUGAAGGAACUCCUUAUGUAUUGGAACUCAGAGAAACUCCAUGUAUAUGUACUUCUUCUUCUUCUUUCUAAAUGUCCAAAAAGCGCCAAAAUGCUGGCAAAUCUUUUUCCAGAAAAAUUAUGCCCAAAAAGCGCCGAAACACUGGUCUUUACUUGUUGUAUUGCCGUAUGGUCGUCGACAUAUCGUAAAAGCAGAUAUGCUGAAACUUGUUGUGUUGUAUGGUCGUCGACAUAUCGUAAAAGCAGAUAUGCUGAAAGUUUUUGUGUUGUCGUAUGUUCGUUGACAUAUCGUAGAUCUAUUGGUUCUGUUUAGUUUUAAAACAUUUCUGGGCUGAUGAACUAUUUCUGGGCUGAAACCGGCUGUAUUGUUGUUCAAACUCCAAUUGAUGUUGCCUGCUUUGCUGUUGCCAGCUUCUCCUUCUUUCUAUUUGAUUCACACUUCAGGUACACAUCCUGUAAUCUCCAAGCUGUGGAUAUGAAAUGAAUGGUAGCAUAUUUUGUUUUCUGCCAAGUCUCAUGAUUAGAUCUCCUGUAAUUUCAUCAAUUCACUAGACUUAUUUGUAACUAAAAC